rnacentral:tRNA from 1 species
CGCGGGGUGGAGCAGCUCGGUAGCUCGCUGGGCUCAUAACCCAGAUGUCGCAGGUUCAAAUCCUGUCCCCGCUA